rnacentral:lncRNA from 1 species
GGCGGCAGGAAGAGAAGCGGAGCUGGCGCUGGCUGAUCCCAUUUGCUGCGGCGCCUACAGUCACUUCCAUCCGGAGACUCGGCUCGGCCGAGAACGCUCUGCGUUCGCCUUCUCCUUGGCUCGCCCUUCUAAAACGCUCCGAGUUCCCUCCCUUCCCUCCCGCACCGCGGAAGGCCUCUUUCCGGGCGCCCGAGGCCCGCUCAACAUUCUCUCCAGAACCCCGGCCUCGGCAUCCGGACGCGUCCGACUAGAUGGCCCGUCAGGCUCACACGCAGCCUCGCCGGCCUCCCUGCCCCGGGCCCGUGCUCGCUGCCCCCCGCCUGGCCCGCGAAGCCCUUACCCGCCAGCGGCAGGAUGUGUCGCGCUCCCUGCGGACAUGGCGGCCUGCUCCAGUCAACCACCCGCCAACUACCCACCACCGCCCUCCCGCCACUUCCGCCCAACGCGCUGACGCACGGCCUCUUCCGGCCGUGAGGUAGGGCGGGUCCGGUGAGGACUCUUGAUUCCGAUUGGACCCUCGGUGAUUUAAAGCGUCUGGCGUCUCGGUGACGGGAGUGCCUGCCUGUCGACUCUCCGGCUUGCUCUCUUGCCCUUAAUAAAAAUGGUUGUUGGGUCUGGUUUAAAAGCGAGUUGCGGGCUAGGAGAAUCCAUUUUUAUUGUGGGCAAGCGAGUCUCCUGGAAGACAAGUCUGAAAAUGAAGCCGACUUUCUCCGCGUUCUCUUUGCUCACGUGGAGUCCCAGCCUGUAGAGGAGGAGAACUCUGCCGGCGACUUCAGCGCACUUCUCCAUUCAGCUUAUGAAAAAAGGAAAUGAUUCUUUCCAAAAGUCAUUUGCACAACUUCCUUUUCUUUCUUUCUCUUUUCUUUUUGUUUUGUUUUGGGUUCCCCCUACCCCUUAGGGAUAGGAAGCUCCAGUCAGCCCGCUGCAUGGGGGGGCUGUUCUGGUGGCCUUGAGCAAAAACAUUGGUUUUGGCAAAAUCGUAAGCACUUGGACAACUUGUUAUAAGACAAGUAAAGUUGGAGAAAAACUGCUCAGCGAGGUGGAGCUUUUUAAAAAAACCGAAGCUAGAGCCUGAGAGAUAGCCCUGCAGACGAAGGCGCUAGUGGACAAACACAACGAUCUAAGUUAGAUCCCUGGAGCACACAAGGAAAGUUGCUCUCUGAUCUAAGAACUGUCAUGAUGGAUAUUAAAA